AGACGAUGGUAAUGGAGAGUCAAACGCAAACACUGGUGGCUUUGGUAUGAGGAGGUUCUAAGAUGUGUCUGAGGAAGAAGGAUGGAUCUAUGUUCCAUAUAAGGAGAUCCCGGAUAACUGGUCUGAGUCUGUUGAGAUUCAGUCAUUACGUCUCUGGAUCGCUCCUUUGUGUUUACUGGGGAGCAGAUUCAGAUCCUUGCAGUUGCUUGCUUAUCUGAGAGUAAAGGGGACGCCGAG